rnacentral:ncRNA from 1 species
AAAAAAGCUGUGAUGGAGGAAAGUAAGUUGACUCUCGAUUUACAGCGAGCCGGGCGGGUGAGAGCCGGCAUGAAGGAGUCUUCCGAAGUUCCCUCCGGAGCUGUGGGCUGAAAUUAAGUAGGCUUCAACGGUGCCUCAGCCGUUAAAAUGAGGCGGGUAUAAAAGCUUUCUGCUUCGUACCCGAAAAAUGAGCGGGCUUUUAAGGCCAAUUAGGGUGGUACCGCGGGAAAAACUCGCCCCUUUU